rnacentral:rRNA from 1 species
AUUGAACGCUGGCGGCAUGCCUUACACAUGCAAGUCGAACGGCAGAGGGGGCAACCCCUUGAGAGUGGCGAACGGGUGAGUAAUGUAUCGGAACGUGCCCAGUCGUGGGGAUAACGUAGUGAAAAUUACGCUAAUACCGCAUACGAUCUACGGAUGAAAGCGGGGGAUCGCAAGACCUCGCGCGAUUGGAGCGGCCGAUAUCAGAUUAGGUAGUUGGUGAGGUAAAGGCUCACCAAGCCGACGAUCUGUAGCUGGUCUGAGAGGAUGACCAGCCACACUGGGACUGAGACACGGCCCAGACUCCUACGGGAGGCAGCAGUGGGGAAUUUUUGGGACAAUGGGCGCAAGCCUGAUCCAGCAAUGCCGCGUGCAGGAUGAA